rnacentral:rRNA from 1 species
UUAGUUUUUGAAGUAUGGCCUGCCCGCUGACUUUUAGUUGAAGGGCCGCGGUAUUUUGACCGUGCAAAGGUAGCAUAAUCAUUAGUUCUUUAAUUGUGAUCUGGAAUGAAUGGCUUGACGAGACAUGAGCUGUCUUAGUGUUGAAUGUUUUAUUGAAUUUGGUCUUUGAGUUAAAAUUCUUAGAUGUUUUUAUGGGACGAGAAGACCCUAUAGAGUUUGACAUUUGGUUUACUCAUUUGUUGGUUGUUUGUUUAUUGUUAAUGAGUGGGCUUUAUUGUUUUGUUGGGGUGAUGAGAGGAAUGGUCUAACUCCUCUUAGUUUUGGUUAUAUUGAUUUAUAUUUAUUUGAUCCAUUUAUUUUGAUUAUAAGAUUAAAUUACCUUAGGGAUAACAGCGUUAUCUUCCUUGAGAGUUCUUAUCGGCAGGGGGGUUUGCGACCUCGAUGUUGGAUUAAG